rnacentral:rRNA from 1 species
UACAUGUGGGGCAAGCGUUGUUCGGAAUUACUGGGCAUAAAGGGUGCGUAGGCGGACUGAUAAGUCAGUGGUGAAAGCCUGUUGCUUAACAACAGAACUGCCAUUGAUACUGCCAGUCUUGAGUACAGUUGAGGUAGGCGGAAUGUGUCAUGUAGUGGUGAAAUACUUAGAUAUGACACAGAACACCGAUUGCGAAGGCAGCUUGCUAAACUGUAACUGACGCUGAGGCACGAAAGCAUGGGGAGCAAACAGG